rnacentral:tRNA from 1 species
AGCCUUGUAGUAGAGUACUACACUGGAUUGCAAAUCCAGAGACGGAGUCGAACGUCUCCCGGGGCUU